GGCAUAGGAAAUUGAACACAUGUCCGAAACAUUUCAAAAAAGUUCGAAGCAACGUUUUUGGCUAUAUCAAUGCCGUAUGCAUACCUGAAAAUAUAUUUUGGAAAUCACUCAUUACGACAUCUUGAAUGAAACCAAUGAAGAUAAAAAACGAAAACCGUACUUUUUACGUGAAAUGUCAACGUUACAUCCAGCAAAUGCUGUCAUUAUAAAAAUAAUAUGAAAUCUGAACAAUAUUGGACACAUAACUAAACAUAACUUUUAACAAAAAAAAACUUUAUGUCCACGAACUACAUUUAUUCAAUUACUGGAGUAGAAAACCUUGAAAACAUUUCAAUUUAUGACUGUAAUGAAAUUGAAUUUUUUAUACCAAAUAAAAUAGUUUUCAGCGUAAACAGCAAUUUAUUUAGUAUUCACUAAAGAAAUGUCCAGUAAAAUUCGUUUUAAUGUGAAAGGGAGAGGAGGGUACGAUCAGGAAAUUAUCAUUUUUCUCGGAGCUCGAAUGCGGUGUGGGAGGUUUGCAUUUUGAAAUGACAUUUGAAAUAAAUUUCCGCAAGCGACUACAUUCCCGCCGGAGGCGUUCUAUUGGAAUAUUGGCCCGAUAAUAAUUAAUUCCUUCAAACCGCAUCCCGUUUUAGGGUUUACUCACUUUAACCUUUUUAAUGGAAAUCAAAUUUGAUUCUAAAAUAAUGCAUGCGUUACGAAAGGGUUUUAUUAACAAGUUAUAAAUCUAUUUAAACUAAUAUUAAAUUCUGAACAAAGUUGGUCCAUCCAUCAAUUGAUAUCAAUGAUUUUUUUUACGAGAUAUAGCUGUUUUAUAAUAUAUUUUCAACAAAUAAAUGAUUAAGCAUCA